rnacentral:rRNA from 1 species
UACGUAGGGGGCAAGCGUUGUCCGGAAUCAUUGGGCGUAAAGAGCGUGUAGGCGGCCAGAUAAGUCCGCUGUGAAAUCUCGAGGCUCAACUUCGAGCCGUCGGUGGAAACUGUCUGGCUAGAGUCCGGAAGAGGAGAAUGGAAUUCCUGGUGUAGCGGUGAAAUGCGCAGAUAUCAGGAAGAACACCCGUGGCGAAGGCGGUUCUCUGGGACGGUACUGACGCUGAGGAGCGAAAGCGUGGGGAGCGAACAGG